rnacentral:rRNA from 1 species
UGGGGAAUCUUGCGCAAUGGGCGAAAGCCUGACGCAGCGACGCCGCGUGAGGGAAGAAGGCCUUCGGGUUGUAAACCUCUUUCAGGAGGGACGAAGCUACUCGGGUUAAUAGCCCAGAGGGUGACGGUACCUCCAGAAGAAGCCCCGGCUAACUACGUGCCAGCAGCCGCGGUAAUACGUAGGGGGCAAGCGUUGUCCGGAAUCAUUGGGCGUAAAGCGCGUGUAGGCGGCCAGAUAAGUCCGCUGUGAAAUCUCGAGGCUCAACUUCGAGCUGUCGGUGGAAACUGUCUGGCUAGAGUCCGGAAGAGGAGAAUGGAAUUCCUGGUGUAGCGGUGAAAUGCGCAGAUAUCAGGAAGAACACCCGUGGCGAAGGCGGUUCUCUGGGACGGUACUGACGCUGAGACGCGAAAGCGUGGGGAGCGAACAGGAUUAGAUACCCUGGUAGUCCACGCCGUAAACGAUGGGAACUAGGUGUGGGCGGUGUCGACUCCGUCCGUGCCGAAGCUAACG